rnacentral:piRNA from 1 species
ACAAAAGAUACCCGGAAUGCAGAGACUUA